rnacentral:rRNA from 1 species
GACGAACCCGUGCGAACGUUGUUCGGAAUCACUGGGCUUAAAGGGCGCGUAGGCGGCUUGCCAAGUCAGGGGUGAAAUCUUUCGGCUUAACCGGAAAAUAGCCUCUGAUACUGGCGAGCUCGAGUGAGGUAGGGGCCGUUGGAACUUCCGGUGGAGCGGUGAAAUGCGUUGAUAUCGGAAGGAACGCCGGUGGCGAAAGCGAACGGCUGGACCUCUUCUGACGCUGAGGCGCGAAAGCCAGGGGAGCAAACGGGAUUAGAACUCC